rnacentral:rRNA from 1 species
GAUGAACGCUGGCGGCGUGCCUAAUACAUGCCAGUCGAGCGAACGGACGAGAAGCUUGCUUCUCUGAUGUUAGCGGCGGACGGGUGAGUAACACGUGGAUAACCUACCUAUAAGACUGGGAUAACUUCGGGAAACCGUAGCUAAUACCGGAUAAUAUUUUGAACCGCAUGGUUCAAAAGUGAAAGACGGUCUUGCUGUCACUUAUAGAUGGGUCCGCGCUGCAUUAGCUAGUUGGUAAGGUAACGGCUCACCAAGGCAACGAUGCAUAGCCGACCUGAGAGGGUGAUCGGCCACACUGGAACUGAGACACGGUCCAGACUCCUACGGGAGGCAGCAGUAGGGAAUCUUCCGCAAUGGGCGAAAGCCUGACGGAGCAACGCCGCGUGAGUGAUGAAGGUCUUCGGAUCGUAAAACUCUGUUAUUAGGGAAGAACAUAUGUGUAAGUAACUGUGCACAUCUUGACGGUACCUAAUCAGAAAGCCACGGCUAACUACGUG